ensembl:lncRNA
CUGGGGAUGGUGGCCUGCGGUGGCUGAGCCCACGCGGCCUGGACCUAGUGUGUGCUCUUGCUGGGCCCUGCUACAUGGUGGGGUCCUCAGCAGUGAUCUGCAGGAACCAAAUCCUUCUUGUUGAAUUCAGUCAACUCUGAGGCCCCUCUGUGGUAUCUCCAGCUCCUGAAUAGGAGAUCAGUGGGCUCCAAGGUCACCUUGGAGAAGAGAGAUGGAGAAGGCACACUAGCUUUUCACUGCUUCAAACCGGAAGUGAUGAGGCUCAUCCCUUCUGCUCAUAUUUCAUUGGCCAGAACAAGUCACGUGACCCCAACUUGCUGGCAAGGGAAGCUGGGAAAUGUGAUCUUUCUCUGUAGGUCCCUGAAGAGGAAUCAGAGUGAGAAACAUGACAUAUUCUUUUCCACAGUGUCUGAGGAUCUGGGACACAUACUUCUGUGGCAUUUGAUUUCACCCAUUUUUGUUUGUUUUGAGGUGACCUUCUUGUUCUUACAGACCCGAGCUAGGCCUAACGCUUGAGAGUCUAGGAAAUGCCUCUGAAAAGUGAAACUGGGGAAACACCUCUUUAGCUCAGGGUGCAGCAUAUGGGAGCCAGGAACAAGUGUCUGCAGUUGCAAGGAUGAAGCCAGUUUCAGCCAUUCACAGCUUGUCAGCUUCCUCCCUGCCUUCCUCUUUUGUGUUCAUUGCACAUCUACAUGCCAAGCCCUGUGCAAGAAGCUGGAGAGACUGGUGUGUAUAUGUGUGUUGGGGGGGGGGGGUUGUCUGUGUGAAUAAAUGCUCAACACUGGGGACAUUACUGUUGCUAUAGUAGGGUCGUGGGGACAGACAAACCCAAACAGACCCUGACCCCAGCAGGGCUGGGAGAGUCAGGGCCAGUGCUCCUAUGGUUGGAUGUACUCGGGUAAGAGGGAGCCCCGUUCCGUGGGAAGAUCGAGAAUCAGAUGAAAAUCCCAGCUCUGACACUUGCUACGCGGCUGUGUGUAAGUGCGCUCACCUCUCUGGGACUCUCUUUCCCUUUUGUGGAAACUGGGUUCUAUGGCAGAGCCUGAUGGAGACCCAUUCCAGUAUCUUUUCUUCCCUCCUUCCCUCAUAAUCAAACCCUGAUUUUAUUUGGGCUGGCAGUGCACUCAACUUUGCAGCUAGGCAUGGCUGUGUGACCAGUUCCAGCAAUGAGAUACAUGAAGAGGUGUUAUGUGCAAAUUCUGGGAAGGCUUCUGAAAGGGAAGAGCAUCCCUUCUGUCCCGACACCACCCUUCCUUCCUUCCUCCUGCUUCCGGUCAGUCAUCAGACGUGAUGGUGAAGCUUGACAGCCAUAUUGGACUAAGAAGGUAUCUUAAAGAUGGCCCUCAGGUGCAGAGGAAGGAAGAGGAGAAAUAAAAACGGAGCCUGGAUCUCUGAUGACAUCAGAGCUGCCGUGUGCAUCCUGGACUCCACCUAUAGUGGCUAUUCACGUGAUUUUAAAAACAGUAUACAUAUUACAUACAAGAAUACUAUGAGAAUGUUAAUAUAAUAAAAAUAUAAUGUUACUAUAUAUUAUUCUGUUUGCAUAUAAUAUGUGCAUGUUUAUGCCCCUUUGUUU